GGAGCGAGGAGGGCACAGCCGUGGUCUCGGGGCGAGCAUGGGCCCGGGGCCGUCACCUCCCGCGCGCUGCCCCGUGGGAGCCAGGCCGGCACCCGGUCCUGCCGCCAGCACGUGGGUGUUCCCGACAGCCCCCCUAGCUCGGGCAGACACGUCCCCCCGUUGCCAUGGAGACAGGCGCCCUCCCCUAUGGAGAGGGACAGUCACCACCUCGCUGGGCUGGGAGCCAGCGCGGCCCAAGGGCAGACGGGAGCCCCAGGAAGCCGCCCCUCGGGCCGAGACCUGGGAGGGGCAGCCCGGCGCUCCAAGGGGGGGCAGGGGGCGCCGUGCCCCAACACCCAGAGCUCGGAGGGGAGGCCGGCCGGCGGCUCUCUGCGCCUCUGGGGACAGGCCCUGUGACCUCCAGCCUCGUUUUCUUCAUCUGAAAAAUCCAGAUCUCAGUCUCUCCCUGGCAACCUGGUUUUAGGGAAUCGCUUGUUCAUUCAACCAGCAUCCACUGAGCUCAGCCUAAAGGCCAGGCCUGGGGCGAGGGCGCGGGCGGGAGUCCUCGUCCUCCUUGUCAGCCAGGAAUUUCAUCUGGGGCAGUGCCUGCCGGGAGACGCAGGGAGGGCGAGGCGUGAGGGGGAGGGAUUGAUCAGUGAUGUCUGCCGUGAGCACAGGCGAGGGGUGUGGAUUGAUCAGUGGUGUCUGCCGUGAGCGUGGGCGAGGGGUGUGGAUUGAUCAGUGGUGUCUGCCGUGAGCGUGGGCGAGGGGUGUGGAUUGAUCAGUGGUGUCUGCCGUGAGCACAGGCGAGGGGUGUGGAUUGAUCAGUGGUGUCUGCCGUGAGCACAGGCGAGGGGUGUGGAUUGAUCAGUGGUGUCUGCCGUGAGCACAGGCGAGGGGUGUGGAUUGAUCAGUGGUGUCUGCCGUGAGCGUGGGCGAGGGGUGUGGAUUGAUCAGUGGUGUCUGCCGUGAGCACAGGCGAGGGGUGUGGAUUGAUCAGUGGUGUCUGCCGUGAGCGUGGGCGAGG